rnacentral:tRNA from 1 species
GAGGGUAUAGCUCAGUGGUAGAGUGCCUGCCUAGUAUGUGCGAGGUCCUGGGUUCAAUCCCCAGUACCUCCA